UCUCCGUUGGUGAACCAACGGAGGGAUCAUUACAGAGUUGCAAAACUCCCAAACCUUUGUGAACGUUACCUAUCCCGUUGCUUCGGCUGACGGCUCGGGCCCCGCACCCGGCGCCCCCCGGCCCCCCGUGGGCGCCCGCUGGAGGUAAAACAAACCACUGAAUUGCAUGGCCUCUCUGAGUCUUCUGUACUGAAUAAGUCAAAACUUUCAACAACGGAUCUCUUGGUUCUG
rnacentral:misc_RNA from 1 species